AUGACAAAGAAAAAUAAGACCUACUAUCUGCUGGAUGGGCAGGAGGAGCCUACGAGGCCUAUACAUGGCAACUGUAUUGGCAAGGUGAUGUUCUUAACGGUCGUUGCUAGGCCAAGGUGGGACCGUGAAGGAAACGUGACCUUCUCUGGGAAAAUCGGUAUCUGGCCAUUCGUGAAAGAAGUUCCUGCUCAGAGGAGAAGUGAUAACAAGCCAAGAGGUACAAUAGAGACAAAGUCAAUAAAGGUCGACAGAAAAGUGAUGAGCACUACUAGAAAAAGGCUUACUAGUGGCGCACCAGUUUUGCCUACUAAUGGCACACUACUGGUGCGCCACUAG
rnacentral:rRNA from 1 species